AUACCGGCAGCUCGAGUGGUAGCCGCGAUUAUUGGGCCUAAAACGUUCGUAGCCGGAUAAGUAAGUCUUUGGUUAAAUCCUACGACUUAACCGUGGGAAAUCUAGAGAUACUGCUUGUCUUGAGACCGGGAGAGGUUGGAGGUACUCCCAGGGUAGGGGUGAAAUCCUGUAAUCCUGGGGGGACCACCUGUGGCGAAGGCGUCCAACUGGAACGGCUCUGACGGUGAGGGACGAAACCUAGGGGAGCGAGCCGGAUUAGAUACCCGGGUAGUCCUAGGCGUAAAUGAUGCGAGUUAAGUGUGGGGGCAUCUACGAGAUGGCCCUGUGCUGUAGGGUAGCCGUUAAACUCGCUGCCUGGGGAGUACGGUCGCAAGGCUGAA
rnacentral:rRNA from 1 species